UACGUAGGGUGCAAGCGUUAAUCGGAAUUACUGGGCGUAAAGCGUGCGCAGGCGGUUUUGUAAGCCAGAUGUGAAAUCCCCGGGCUUAACCUGGGAAUGGCAUUUGGGACUGCAAGGCUUGAGUGCGGCAGAGGAGACUGGAAUUCCUGGUGUAGCAGUGAAAUGCGUAGAUAUCAGGAGGAACACCGGUGGCGAAGGCGGGUCUCUGGGCCGAUAUUGACGCUGAGGAGCGAAAGCGUGGGGAGCGAACAGG
rnacentral:rRNA from 1 species